AGCUCCAAGAGCAUAUAUUAAAGUUGUUGCAGUUAAAAAGCUCGUAGUUGAAUUUAUGGUCGAACGCACCUGGCCCGCGGCCCUCAAGGCUUGUGAGUGCCGGUGUGCGUUCUCCAUCCUUUUAGAGAACGUUUCUGCCAUUAAUUUGGUGGGGUCGCGAUCUAAAUCAUUUACUUUGAAAAAAUUAGAGUGUUUAAAGCAGGCAAAUCGGUUAUGAAUAUAUUAGCAUGGAAUAAUAAUCUAGGACUUCGGUUCUAUUUUGUUGGUUUUCGGAAUUGAAGUAAUGAUUGAUAGGGACAGUUGGGGGUGCUAGUAUUGGCCGGCCAGAGGUGAAAUUCUUGGAUUCGGUCAAGACUAACUUAUGCGAAAGCAUUCACCAAGGAUGUCUUCU
rnacentral:rRNA from 1 species